AGGCCCAUCUAGAAAUGGGAGAUAAAGAGCCUGAAGACACAGAUUGAUCUACUUAUAGGACUUGCACUUAUUGAGAGUGCAAUGAAAAAGUAGAUGAAAACAAGGAAAGAAACAGGAAGGUUUCACUGUGUGUUUACCAUGCCCAAGCAUUUUAAACAAAAGGACGACAGGAAAUACUUGAAAAAGGAGAAACAUGUCCCAUAAAGGCAUGCAUUCUGAAGAAGAGAGAA